GGUGGGUCCGAAGGUAGAGAGUUGUCUCAGUUAAUUGUUCCCAGUCAGUUUCAGAUCAAGUUCCUUGUUCUGUUCUUCUCCCACUUCUCACGAUUGCACUUGACUAGUCUUAU
rnacentral:Y_RNA from 1 species